GAUGAACGCUGGCGGCGUGCCUAAUACAUGCAAGUCGAGCGAACAGACGAGGAGCUUGCUCCUCUGACGUUAGCGGCGGACGGGUGAGUAACACGUGGAUAACCUACCUAUAAGACUGGGAUAACUUCGGGAAACCGGAGCUAAUACCGGAUAAUAUAUUGAACCGCAUGGUUCAAUAGUGAAAGACGGUUUUGCUGUCACUUAUAGAUGGAUCCGCGCCGCAUUAGCUAGUUGGUAAGGUAACGGCUUACCAAGGCGACGAUGCGUAGCCGACCUGAGAGGGUGAUCGGCCACUCUGGAACUGAGACACGGUCCAGACUCCUACGGGAGGCAGCAGUAGGGAAUCUUCCGCAAUGGGCGAAAGCCUGACGGAGCAACGCCGCGUGAGUGAUGAAGGUCUUCGGAUCGUAUAACUCUGUUAUUAGGGAAGAACAAAUGUGUAAGUAACUAUGCACGUCUUGACGGUACCUAAUCAGAAAGCCACGGCUAACUACGUG
rnacentral:rRNA from 1 species